rnacentral:rRNA from 1 species
AUACGGAGGAUCCGAGCGUUAUCCGGAUUUAUUGGGUUUAAAGGGUGCGCAGGCGGCCAUUUAAGUCAGCGGUUAAAUCGUGGGGCUCAACCCCAUUCUGCCGUUGAUACUGGGUGGCUUGAUUGCGGUCGAGGUUGGCGGAAUUCGUUGUGUAGCGGUGAAAUGCAUAGAUAUGACGAAGAACACCGAUUGCGUAGGCAGCUGACCAGGCCGCAAAUGACGCUCAUGCACGAAAGUGCGGGGAUCGAACAGGAUUAGAUACCCUGGUAGUCCGCACAGUAAACGAUGAAUACUUGUUUUCGGCGAUAUAAUGUCGGAGGCAAAGCGAAAGCGAUAAGUAUUCCACCUGGGGAGUACGCCGGCAACGGUGAAACUCAAAUGAAUUGGCGGGG